rnacentral:rRNA from 1 species
CGUAGGGGGCAAGCGUUGUCCGGAUUUAUUGGGCGUAAAGAGCGUGUAGGCGGCUUCACAGGUCCGCUGUGAAAACUCGAGGCUCAACCUCGAGCUGUCGGUGGAAACCGUGUGGCUAGAGUCCGGAAGAGGAGAGUGGAAUUCCCGGUGUAGCGGUGAAAUGCGCAGAUAUCGGGAAGAACACCCGUGGCGAAGGCGGCUCUCUGGGACGGUACUGACGCUGAGACGCGAAAGCGUGGGGAGCGAGCAGGAUUAGAUACCCUGGUAGUCCACGCCGUAAACGAUGGGUGCUAGGUGUGGGGGGUGUCGACUCCCUCCGUGCCGAAGCUAACGCAUUAAGCACCCCGCCUGGGGAGUACGGCCGCAAGGCUA